rnacentral:lncRNA from 1 species
GUAGUGGUCCUCCACCAUGGCAAAAGACUCUAGGUCAUAAUCCAGUUUACAUCACUCCUUGACCUCCUUCGCCAUCCAGUCCAACGGAACUUGUCAGUCUAGGCUCCGCAUGAACACAGCUACAUUCUCCUACUCCCUUCAAGAGGCCGCCAUUUCUUCCUCUGGGAACUCGAGAACAUUGGUGGUGCCGUUGAAGUCUCUCCACUU